CCAUGUCUGCCAGCAGCACCCAGAAGAUGUACUGUGACGAUUCAAGUAUUUGGUAUUCCCCUCAUCUCAUCUCAUCUCUGAAGAGUUUGUUUUCUUCAAAAGCAGGAGAUAAUUACUGAUAGCAAAGAAGAGUAUGUCUGUGAAGAUGGCACCUACAGAAACAUUUCCUUUGAAGAUAUAAUAUAUAUAAUGGGGCAGGAGCUUUUUGGGUAUCUGAUGUGGUAGUAACAGCAUCAGGCAUCAUCAGUAGUAGAAUAUAAGGCAGCUUUAUCAGCUAUUUUUUUCUGAAUUCAAGAUGUUCUCAAGUUUUGUCCUCUGGAAGAAGAUAACUUCUUGUGGCUGAAUAGCAUAUUUUAAAUGUGAAGACCCAGUUCAUCAGCUGGUGUAAAGUGGUGUGUCUGCAUUGUCUCAGGUGAGGAGUUAAAUAGGGUCAGUAAAAGGGCAACCUGACAGUAAUUCAUGCAUAGUGAAAUCUACCACAUAACUGGGAACAUGUGCAAGGACGUAGAUAUCCCACGGUGCCCCUCUGAAUUGGAGUCAAGCUGUACCAGGAGAUCUUUGUGUGUCAGAAAAUACAUUACCUGUGCGAUACCAAACCAUCUUGCACAAAAUGGAAAUUCAGGGGCUAUCUGUUUAAGAGGUCAUUGGAAUUGCACUCAUGCAGAUCCAUUACCCAGCAACCUGCAUCUAGAGAUGUGGAGGGAUAGCACUGUAGACUCUACUUCAGCCCAUAGUUUGAGAAGCAAUCUGCCCCAUGAGAUUUAUUUUUAGCCCAUCCAACGUUAUUGAUGACACCUGCAUAAAGCACUGUUACCCAGACUAUAUGUAGGUUUCCAGAAUGUCAACCACCUCACAUAUUUCUGCAGUUCAAAACUAAAUAAAAAUCUCUAAAUAAU